UUUAUACUGGAUGGAGUCACAUUAUUUCCAUUUCAUAGAAAAAGGGGCAGAAUUGUAGAAGAUUAAAUAGCUGGGCCCAAAUCACACAAUGAUGGAGGUGACAAGCACAGACUAGGAAGUUGAAACCGUGCCGGGCAGGAGAUCAUUUAAAUCAAACUCUCAACAGAGGAUGGCAACACCAGAGCAUUAAGAAAGAAAAAAAAACCUCUGUUGAAUAGAUGAAAUUCUCAAAAGAGGAUAGACGAGAGCUUUCCAGAGACAUGAUGAAAAUUGCUUCAAAUGACAUCAACGUUGAGAGCUGACACCACACCAGAUGUGCCCACAGAAUAUUCCUGGCAGCCUUCGUCUCUGAAUCCAGGUCACCCAGCCUCCUGCAGUAGAGACUUGGGGUGGAAGAGGCUGCUUCCC